GUGAGGAAUUUUCCGCAAUGGGCGAAAGCCUGACGGAGCAAUGCCGCGUGAAGGAUGAAGGCCUAUGGGUUGUAAACUUCUUUUCUCAGAAAAGAAUUAUGACGGUAUCUGAGGAAUAAGCAUCGGCUAACUCUGUGCCAGCAGCCGCGGUAAGACAGAGGAUGCAAGCGUUAUCCGGAAUGAUUGGGCGUAAAGCGUCUGUAGGUUGUUUAAAAAGUAUUCUGUCAAAGAUUAGGGCUUAACCCUAGAUAGGCAGAAUAAACUUUUAAGCUAGAGUGUGGUAGAGGCAGAGGGAAUGCCCGGUGGAGCGGUGAAAUGCGUAGAUAUCGGGAGGAACACCAAAGGCGAAGGCACUCUGCUGGGCCAAUACUAACACUGAGAGACGAAAGCGAGGGGAGCAAAUGGGAUUAGAUACCCUAGUAGUCC
rnacentral:rRNA from 1 species